UCUCCUUGAAGGGAAAGGAUCGUCCGAUUGUCCUAUCGUCAAUGGCGACACCAACCACUCCUUCGCUAAUUAGUUCGGAGCAGUUCAAAUCGUUCACUUCAAUCCUUCCGCCUCUGCCGCUGAGAUUUACCGCCGCCAAAACUAAGAAUCAAUGGCGAGUGAGGUGCGCAUUGUCCUCAAACAAUUGGCGGGAGAGCAGGCGACUGUUCUCCAUCUCUCUUGUCUUCUCAAAUUUGUUCCUGAUUCCUCACCAUGCCUCUGCCGGAAGCUUUCUGGACAAAUACGUGAAGAAGAAAAAGCUGGAUCCGCUUGAAGUUUAUGUUCCAGCCGUCAUACUGACGCAGUUACAAAUCAAAGACGUCGGAAAAAUUUUGGAAAGUAGUAAACCAGAAUACGCGACAUGCCGAUCUCUCUUGCGUUCUGGAAUUGCAUCAUCACUUCGCGUAAAUAUUCGAGCAGUUGCACAAUAUGCCUUGGAGGAUGGAAAUGGAAACAUUGCGUUUGACAAUGUUGAUCAAUGUCUCAGAGCCCUGGAAGAACUUGAUUCUUCCCUUUUACGUGCCACAAGAAAUGAUCGGGGAACCUCAAUUGAGUCAAUGAAGACCAAUAUUGACACUGCCGUCCUUGCUCUAGACCGGCUCCUUCAAACUGUUCCUCCUGAUGUCCUGGCUAAAGGGAAGGCUAUUGCUGAUGCUUAUAAUACUCCGGAAGAGGAAGAAACCGAAAUUGCAGACCCAGAACUGAAGCAGUUGGAAUCAAUUUUAUGAUAUAGAUGUCCAGUAGAACUGAGGAUUCAUCCCAACUCAAGCAAUCUUCUUUAAUGUCCAGUUUGAUGAGGAUUCAGAAUUUAGAUUCGGCUACCCUGGAGCUUUUAUGAUUGAGACACCGAAAAGAAAGGUACACUUUAUUGGUCUAAGUAGUAACUUUCAAUUUUUCAAGUCUUUCUUAGUCAUCCUAGUCUCAAGAUCAUUAUCAUUCUGAUAUAGUCUCAGUUCAUUCAUAUACUCUUCAUUUACUUGAGUGUCACAUAUACCCCCAGCUUUCGCCUUGGUUUGUCCUAUAUAGGUAGUAACUUUCGAUUCUUUUAAGCUUUUUUUUAGUCAUCCUAUCCUUAGUAUUACUCUCAUUCGAAUGUGAUCUCAAUCCAUUUAUGUACCACUUUUUAACUCAUAGAAACAUAGAAACAGGAAUAAAUAGGAAAUGUGAUAGAGAGGCAUUCAAUUAAACGUUUACCAUUACAUUUUUAGUUAUAAAACCAACCUUGGGCCGAGUACUAAUUUCUUCGGCCCAUUAAUAACGUUGGGCUUGAACAAGCCUUAUAUGAAAAAACACUCUUUCCUUAUUUAUUCUUUAAAGCAUACGGGCAUUGCUAUAUGUACCUCUCUCUACUUUUUCAUCAUCUAACAGCCCUUGAAUCUAAAUAUUAUCAGAUUUACUCUCUUUUCACUAAUAUUAGAUUAAACGAGUUACUAAUCUAUAUCUCUCUUUUAUAUUAGUGAGCUUAAGUUUGUUUAAUAUUUUGCUAACACUGACUUUCAAGAACUCAAAAACAAUGGUUCGAGGACGGAGAAAUUUCACAAAUUAUAUGUUGGUCGAGAAAUGAAAUGACCUUCAACAAAAUAGAAGAAUUGUACACGAGUCCUAUGCUUAAGAUGGAGGUAAUAGUUUAUGAAGUUUGCAAAAUUUUUAGUCAGUCAAUUUUU